CAGUCGCCGCGGUAAUACGGAGGGUGCAAGCGUUAAUCGGAAUUACUGGGCGUAAAGCGCACGCAGGCGGUCUGACAAGUCAGAUGUGAAAUCCCCGGGCUUAACCUGGGAACUGCAUUUGAAACUGUCAGGCUGGAGUCUUGUAGAGGGGGGUGGAAUUCCAGGUGUAGCGGUGAAAUGCGUAGAGAUCUGGAGGAAUACCGGUGGCGAAGGCGGCCCCCUGGACAAAGACUGACGCUCAGGUGCGAAAGCGUGGGGAGCAAACAGGAUUAGAUACCCGAGUAGUCCCUGUCUCUUAUAA
rnacentral:rRNA from 1 species